rnacentral:rRNA from 1 species
AAGUAAAGCAUGUAAACCUGCUGAAUUUAAGCAUAUAAGUAAGCGGUGGAAAAUGAACCAAAUGGGAUUCCUUAAGUAAUUGCGAAUGAAAAAGGAUAUGCUCAGCUUGAAAAUUGAAGCUUCUGGUUUUGAAUUGUAGUUUUGAAAUGUAUUGCCGAUGGAGGUGCAGGUGUAAGCCUGUUGGAAAACAGUGUCAGUGAGGGUGAGGUGCCUUUUUGUCAUUUGCAGUCCUCCAAGCACGGUAUAUAUUUGACGAGUCACACUCCUUGGCAUUGGAAUGCAAAGUGGGUGGUAAAUUCCAUGAAAAGGGAAAUACAUUUUUGAGACUGAUAGCAAACAAGUACCAUGAGGGAAAUAUGAAAAGGACUUUGAAAAGAGAAUUAAAAGAGUCUGCAUUUGCUGAACAGAAAGCAAACAGAAUGAAUUCUGCUUGGUUAGAUUAUUGUGCCGUCUGCUUUGUUUAUUUGUGUUGCAUCAGGGUGCAAUGGUUCUUUCCUUGAAUGCCAGCUUUAUUUCUGCAAAUCGUAAUCUUUGUGCAUGAAUGGAAAUACGUCUGCGGGUAUUGGAUUGCAUGUGUUUGUGGUGAUUUGUGAUUUACCUAUAUGUGUGUCUUGUGUUGGUGGCUUGUGAGCUUAAGGGUUGUUUUCAUUCUUGAGCAUGGGAAACCUUGAUUGCAUAUUUGCUGGCAACAUGUUUCUGCUUGACCCGUCUUGAAACACGGACCAAGGAGUCUAACAGAUGUGCAAAUUUGUGGGUGCGCAAACCUGUUUGUGAAAUGAAAGUAUUGGCUGGGAUACUUGCACCAGCAGCCGACCAAUUGGCAGACAGAGGUUUGAGCUUGAGCAUAUCUAUUAGGACCCGAAAGAUGGUGAACUAUGCCUGAACAGAAUGAAUUCAGAGGAAACUCUGAUGGAGGUUCGUAUCGUUACUGACGUGCAAAUCGUUCGUCAUACUUGGGUAUAGGGGCGAAAGACUAAUCGAACCAUCUAGUAGCUGGUUCCCUCCGAAGUUUCCCUCAGGAUAGCUGGAGUUGCACAGUUUUAUCAGGUAAAGCGAAUGAUUAGAGGAAUUGGGGGCAUGCUGUCCUUGACCUAUUCUCAAACUUUAAAUGGGUAAGAUGCAAUGGUUGCUUUUUUGAACUUUUGGAAUAAAUGGCAAUAUCAAGUGGGCCAUUUUUGGUAAGCAGAACUGGCGAUGAGGGAUGAA